GAUCAUGGCUCAGGAUGAACGCUGGCGGCGUGCUUAACACAUGCAAGUCGAACGGAACUCCUAUGAACGAGGUUUCGGCCAAGUGAAUAGGAUGUUUAGUGGCGGACGGGUGAGUAACGCGUGAGUAACCUGCCUUGGAGUGGGGAAUAACACAGUGAAAAUUGUGCUAAUACCGCAUAAUGCAUUUGGAUCGCAUGAUUCUGAAUGCCAAAGAUUUAUCGCU
rnacentral:rRNA from 1 species